rnacentral:rRNA from 1 species
AUUGAACGCUGGCGGCAGGCCUAACACAUGCAAGUCGAACGAUUGGCGGACGGGUGAGUAAUGUCUGGGAAACUGCCUGAUGUAGGGGGAUAACUACUGGAAACGGUAGCUAAUACCGCAUACCAUCGGAUGUGCCCAGAUGGGAUUAGCGAGUAGGUGGGGUAAAGGCUCACCUAGGCGACGAUCCCUAGCUGGGCUGAGAGGCUGACCAGCCACACUGGGACUGAGACACGGUCCAGACUCCUACGGGAGGCAGCAGUGGGGAAUAUUGCGCAAUGGGCGAAAGCCUGACGCAGCAAUGCCGCGUGUAUGAAGAAGGCCUUCGGGUUGUAAAGUACUUUCAGCGGGGAGGCGUUACCCACCGAAGAAGCACCGGCUAACUCCGUGCCAGCCGCCGCGGUAAUAC